UCUUCCUUUCUUCCUUUCUUUCUUUCUUUCUUUCUUUCUUUCUUUCUUUCUUUCUUUUUCCUUCUUUCUUUUUUUUUGGCUGCCUGGAAGCUUGCAGUCUCCUUGCCUGCUUAUGCCUAGCAUGAGGAUUACAGAUGUGAGCGCCAUGCCUAACAAUGGAGCAUAUUACCUGCCCCAGGAAGUGAAACUAAGUCAUUGUUAAAUUGUUGAUAGAAGAGUUAGAAAUGAAACAUUUGGCUGUUUGACUGAGCAAAAGGACUUGCUGAGAAUCAUGAGCAGCCCUCUGGGUGACUCAGUUCUGAAAUAGUUUUCUCCAGUAUUCAUGUGAAUUCUGUAACAACAGCAUAAAGGGUUUCCCCUCAUGACCAACCUCACUUAAGCCCACCUCUCACUUGGCCCAGCGUCUCUUGGAAGCAGGGUUGGUGGUGGAAGAGGCCAAGGGGAUGCUCUGUCUCUGUAAGUAUCUCGCACAUUGCCAUCUGUCAUGCUCACCUUGUCUGUGCUUCUCUCUGUCAGGGCAUCAUCCUUCCUGUGGAGCCAGCAGCCCUUAUUGAUCCAGUCACAGAUAACUGAGCAGUCUAGAAGUAAUAGGAGACCGAUGGCAAAUUGUGUCUUUCCACAUCCGACGAUGAUGAGUUACCUUGGAUCUUUCAGAAGCUAGUUUCGGAAUAAUGGUAACCCAAAAUCCAACAGAAGGGAGUCACUUCCCCUGUAAUGCAGUUGUGAUUAAGAAUGAUUAUUUUGUCUUUGUCAAUGUUAAUAACACCUAAUCCUUAAUCCUCCUUAUGAGAUUUGCUUUAAUAUCUAGAAAUAGUGGAGUUUCCUGAAACUCCACUUGCUAUGCUAGGGCUGAAACGUGCUUGCUGUGAAACCAGAAACUCACUAGAGAUUGUGGAGGGUAUCCACAUGGGAAUUUCUCUAUGAAAUUGGAAUUGGGUCAUAAUGUUACCUUUGGAUAGUAUUCUAGGGGAAUAGGACAUACAUCUGACUGUAUAAAGAGUAAUUUAUGUCCUGGCCCAAUUGUUAGCACUAUUCUGCCUUGGUAUCUUUGCAUUUUAAGUAAGCACAUUGUUAUUAACUUAGUUUUGGUUGUUUUGAGACAGGAUCUCACUAUACAUGCUUGGCUGGCUUGAAGCUCACUAUAAAGACCAGGCUGGCUUCCAGUUUGCAGAGAUCUGCCUGCCUCCGCCUCCUGAGUGCUGGGAUUAAAGGCACGCACCACCACGCUGGACUUAUAUUUUGAGUAAGCACACGUAAUCCUGGAAAAAUUAGUUAAUUCAUUAUUUUAUUUCCAUUUUUCACAUUAAAAUGUUGGGAAUGCAAGAUUAAGAACCUGGGAAAGCAGCAAAAGGAAGGGAUCCCGUAAGCCUCUGGUGAAGCUGCCACUUAUGGGCCACUCAUAAGACUCAGAACCGAUAGAGUCUGGUCAGGGUCACUUGGGCCACCUGAGAGUCUAUCAUCUCUCGCUUAUGACAGAGGCUAAUGUCUUUAAUACCUUUAACGCCUGUUACGGCAGAAAAUCCUCGCCAGACUCAAGGAACAGAAAACUUUAACGUAUGGAAUGACUUCCACAAAUAUUUACUGAGAACCAGCACCCUCUGAAGCAGUGGGAUUCUAACAAGAUGGAUGGAUCUCAGCCUCCCUAGAGCUUAUUGUCCAGUGGAAAUAAAGACAAUGGACAAGCAAACAAAGAGCCCAUGAAGAGAAUAAGACAGAGUAAUGCGAUUGAGAAUGUGGGGCACCGGAAGUGGAGGGCACUGGAGCGGAUGUUGAAGCGGUGAGGAAGUUAGCGUCCCGGAUAUUGGAAACACACGCCAGGAGGGGUGAGUGAAGUAACAGCAGGGACUGUGGUAGCUGUAUCCUGGGGAGUGAGGAGGAAAGGGAGCGGAGGCAGCAAGGACUGGCUGCUGCGAAGAUGAUGUAAGGACCCGGCGAGGAGGUCAAAUGCUAUUCUAAUAGAAACUGGGAACACAACUCCGUGGACAAGAAUGAAGAGCUUCCGCGCUACUUCAGCCUGUUGGAGAUUGCGGAUGUAAGCUGCCACAGCCAAGAGUUGUCUUGAGAAAUUACCGGAACAGGAAGAGAGAAGUUCUGCGUUGCGAUCAGACGUGGUUGCUUUCUGGUGCGUGUUGGACGUGAGCACAUUGACCCCAGGUGUGUCAGAGUGGAAGACUCAAGUGCGGGCAUUGUUUGUGCUUGGGUAAUAUUUGAGGAUCAGGAGCUGAACCAGUUGGUCCAGGGACAGCGUACUGAUACCAGGGGAGGUAGUCCCAAACUGUGUUCCAAAGUGGAGACUGGCAGGAGGAGGAACCAGUAAGAGAGGCAAAGAAGGGACAGCCAGGACCAGGGGAGAGGGAGUGUGGGGCCAUGGAAACAGGAGAAACUGUCUGGGGAAGUGUUUGUUAUGGUCGAGAGGAUAAGCAAGAUGAGAACAGAGAGGUGGGUAAGGAUGCUUGUGUGUCCUUGAAAAGAGGGAGGACCACGCCUGGCAUAAUUAAGGUGACGAGGCAACGCUCUUGUCUUCAGAGAAGUACAAUGUUGUCAAGCAACAAAACCAGUGCUAAGUAGAACUUCAUUUUGUGGCUGCACUUAACUUCUGGGAACGCUCGCGUUUCCAUGGAAACCAAGAAUUAUUCCAUGGAAUAAUAUUAUCUUUAGCUUCAAGGGUACCCAGAGGUCGGGUAGUCUAAAUUCUCACCUUAGCCCUUCCAGCACGAGCUGACACAUGCUCACAUUUGCACAAACAUUUCCAGACACAGAAGAUCACCCCAUGGGAUGUGCUGUGGUUGGCUGGCUUUGGGCAGUUUUUUUUUAAAAAAAAAAAGUCUUUCACAGUCAAGAAGAGACUCAGUCACCAACUCAAGGCAGGAGAGGCUCAGGGAGCUGCUAAGUAGGCUGGAGAGCACAGAAGGAAGGGGGAGUAAGGUUCAGGGGAGCUGAACUGGUCACGCGCUGGUUUCCUUCGUUGUCCAAUAGAUGCAGUUUGUGAUUAGCUGGCGCUCAGCUGCUUCUGAUUGGCUGGGACUCAACUCUCCGUUAGACCGUUAAGUAUGAAUUUUCCAGUUUGUUUAUAAACUGAGUUUGGUAGCCUCAAGUCGAUUUUAAUUUGCCAGGCUGCUUUGGCAGUAUCCAGGAGUUUAUGGUACCAAGAUUGUGUGUAUGCGUGUGUGUGUGUGUGUGUGUGUGUGUGUGUGUGUGUGUGCGCGCGCGCGUAUACACACACACACACACACACACACACGCAAACACUCGUGGGUAUGUCCACAUUCAUGUGGAGGUCAGAGGACCUUGAUUUGUUUGUUUGUUUGUUUGUUUAUUUAUUUAUUUUGAGGCAGGGUGUCUCAAUUUAGUCCUAGAACUCGAUAUAUAGACAGGGCUAGCCUUUAGCUCACAAAGAUCCUCCUGCUUUUGCCUCCCAAGUGUUGGGAUCAAAGAUGUGCACCACAAUUCAAGCACACCCUGAGUUUUGGCAAACAACAACUUCUUUCUUUCUUUCUUUCUUUCUUUCUUUCUUUCUUUCUUUCUUCCUUCUCUCUCUCUUUCUUCUUCCUCUUCCUCUUCCUCUUCCUCCUCCUCUUCCUCCUCCUCCUCCUCCUCCUCCUCCUCUUCUUCCUCCUCCUCCUCCUCCUCCUCCUCCUCCUCCUCCUCCUCCUCCUCCUCUUCUUCUUCUUCUUCUUCUUCUUCUUUUCUUCUUUUUUUGAGACCAACUCUUUUACCUCUGGUCAGGUUAAUUGGCAAAUAGGACUCAGGAAUCUCAGGAAUCUACUUUUCUCUACCUACAUAACUCUGGGAAUUGAACCCAUGCCCUACAAUCCUUUACUGCCUGAGAGUUCUCUCUAGUUUAUGUCAGAAUAUUUUUAACGAGCGUUUACUUCCUCCUUCCCCCUCCUCCUUUUCCUCCUCCUCUCACCUCUCUUUCUUGUGAGGAGGUCGUAUAGUAGAAAGACCCUGGGCUUUAAGUCAGAUUUAUAAGUGUUUGUUUUAAAUCUUUGGCCCCUGGAUCUGUUUAACAUCAGGCAACUUUUAGUCUUAGAGUCUCUUGAUUGGUGAAAGGAAGCAAAUAACCUUAGUUACCUUUUUCACAGAACUAUUCUGGACAUGCAGUGAGAUGACCUGUUUGAAACACUCAUCAGGUACCCUGUACAGGACAGACACAGUCUGUGGUGACCUGUCCCAGGAGUGCUGGGAGGUUUCUCUGGAAAAUGUUCUCUGCCAACACCCCCACCCCUCACCCUUCAUACCUCUAGCUGUCCAGUUCUCCUCUUAUACCUUUAGCACAGGGUUCUGGUCAUUUACUGAUCUGAUCUAUUGCUCUUUAUCCUGGAUGAUAAACCCCAGGAAGGUUCUUACCUUUAGGGAGGUGAAGCAGCUACAUGAUGAAUGGUGUUUGCGCAGUCAAAGGGAAGCUCCUUCAGCGUCAUCUGAAGGUCUUGGGUGGUUUACUGACCCCCUCUGAGCCUUCUUUCCUCAGAUGAAGAAUGGUUAGGUUUGGUAUGGCAGAAGUGGGAGGGAGUUAGAGAUACAGUUCUGAGGAAGUUCUUGAGCCAGUGCCUGGCAGAUGGACAGGGCUCUAAAUGUCACAGGAUUAUCCCUGAAGGGAGUUAGCUUGUGGAUGAGGAGACAAAGUGCCUUAGCAGAUGACAUGGGUUAUCACCUGGUUGGAUACACACACUUUAGAUAAUGUCAUUUCCCAGAACCUGGACAUGUAAUCUCAGAAGUCAUAUGUAAAACAUGAUAAUUACAGAAGUUUGGAAAUUUAGAAUUCUAUGAAUCAGAAGGGAAAGUUCUGACUGGGACUUUUCUCCAGUGCUCCCCCCCCCCCCCCGUUGAGCUUGGCGUGUAGAAUUUAUUGAUUUUUUUUUUAAGACUAAAAUAACCAGGGGACUGGAGAGAUGGCUCAGCAGUUAAGAGCACUGGCUAUUCUUCCAGAGGUCCUGAGUUCAGUUCCCAGCAACAACAUGGUGGUUCACAAUCAUCUGUAAUGGGAUCUGAUGUCCUCUGCUGGUGUGUCUGAAGACAGCUACACUGUACUCAUAUAAAUAAAAAUUAAUAAAAGAAAAAACUAAAAUUACAAAUUUUGUUGGAAUGGGUUCAUGUUUGUGGACAUCCACAAAGGCUUACAAGCGGUUGUGAGCUGCCAGUUGUGGGUGCUGGGAACAAACUUGGGUCUUCUGAAAGGGCAGCAAGGUCUCUCACUCCUGAACCAUUGAGCCUGUAUUGUUCACACACUUUGUGGUUGAAGAUCUAACCUCAGACUGAGUUGACAAAACUCAAGAGAUAAGCUGAGCAGUUUGAAUUAAUUAGAAACGUACAACUAAAACCUGGUUUAAGAGUAAUGCCUUUUCUGACUGGACUGUAGUUUUCAUUUGCUCUUCAGACGUGUGCGUAGAGAUGAGACCAGCAUGCUUGGGGCUCACAGGAAGAGAAGUGCCUUGGUCAAAGAUUUUUUUUAAAAAAGAUUUGUUUAUUUACUUCAUGUUUGAGAACACUGUCACUGUCUUCAGACACACCAGAAGAGGGCAUCUGAUCCCAUUACAGAUGGUUGUGAGCCACCAUGUGGUUGCUGGGAACUGAACUGAGGACCUCUGGAAGAGCAGCCAGUGCUCUUAACCACUGAGCCUUGAUCAAAGAUUCUUUCCCCUACUGCCCCAUGCCUAAUAGUUUCUUUUCCGAGCUCCAUGCAUUUCUUUAAAUUGGGGUUUGGCCAAGAAGCCCCAGUUGGGUGGCAGUAGACAUACUUCCUGGCCAGUGACUCCCAGGGUGGGAAGGUGGAGAACAGGCAGCCGUGCGCACAGAGCAGUGUGACCUUUGCUCUAUGCUCUCCAGGGAACUGGACACCAGCUUCUGUCAUAGAGGCUCUUAUCUUUGGUUCCCACUCUUGGAAUUUCUCCUGCUCUGGUUUGCCAAAGGGAGUCCUUGAGAUUGCAUUUAGAUUUUGGAAAAACAGCAGGAAAAGUUCUGUGGAUGAGCUGGGGACUAUGUCAUCCUUUGAAAAUGAGUUUUUAUUUUUUGAGGCAGUAUGUACAGACCCAGAGGCAUUUUACUCUGGUAGAUUUUUAUCUUGUUUUAAAAUAAAUAGAAAGGGACACUUGAGUAUUUUUAUCAAAUUAUUGAUCUAAAACAAAGCCCAUGGUAACAAAAUGCUUCUUUUUCCCAAUAAUGUUCUAUUAUCAGCAUUUCAUUGAUAUCCUAAAAGCAAACUGUAUCUCUCCUGAUUUUUAUGUGAUAGAAAAUUAUUAUUUGCAACGUCGCUGCAUCUGUUUUAGAUGUGAAGAUUUGUUUGGAUCUGGACUUAAAUCUUUUGGCAAAUGGGAUUUUGUAUUCAGACAAGUGACUGACUUAGUAACUAAAUGUAAUUCUUCAAAUAUUUCAAUACUUCUUUUGGCCAAAUGUUCAAGCUGUCAAUAUCCCCGCCUUCAUGUGUUCACAGUGUAAUUGCUUUUAGGAUAAUGAAUUUUACAUUACGAUAGAGGGGAUCCCCAUUUGGUUGAUCACAGUAAAGUAUGAAACUUGGCUACUGGAAAUCUUCCUAGGAAGACCCCCCCCCCCCAGCCUUUUAAGUCAGUGGUUUUCAACCCUCUAACACUGUGACCCUUUAAUACAGCUCCUCAUGUUGUGGUGACCCCCCACCCAUAAAAUUAUUUCAUUGCUGCUUAGGUGUAAUUUUGCUACUGUGAUGAAUUAUAAUGUAAAUGUCUGUGUUUUCUGAUGGUCUUAGGCAACCACCAUGAGUGGGUUGUUUGACCCCUGAAGGGGUCACAGGCUACAGGUUGAGAAACACUGAUAUAGCUCUGAAAUUUUUUUUUAACUCUGAAAUUUUUUAAAAAUGAUUUAUUUAAUGUAUAUGAGUACACUGUAGCUAUCCUCAGACACACCAGAAGAGGGCAUCAGAUCCCAUUACAGAUGGUUGUGAGCCAUCAUGUGGUUGCUGGGAAUUGAACUCAGGACCGUUGGAAGAGCAGUCAGUGAUCUUAACCACUGAGCCAUCUCUCCAGCCCAAGCUCUGAAAUUUUUAUUGCUCAGAUAUUGUUAUGGAUUUUAUCCAAUUGUCUGUGGCCAAAUUCUGGGGGAAUGUUCUAAUUGCCAUAAAACUUCUAAACAAUUUCCAAAGUUUAAAUGAUUAUAAGGCCUUUUUUUAUUUUUUAAAACUGUGGUAAUAGUUGGCAUUUAAAUUUUAUUUUGUUGUUAUUAUAUUGUUAUUAUUAUUAUUGAUGGUAUUUAACUGUGUGGCCCAUGCUGGCUUUGAACUUGUGGUCCUUCUGUCCCAGAUUCCAGAGUGCUGGGAUUAGAGGCAUGUAUCAGCACACCCAGUUCUGGGUUCUACUUUUUGGAUGAUUUGAUAUCAAAGUUCAUGUAUUUAAGAGAGAAAAGAGACACAAAACACUCUGCAUUAUCCCAUCUUUGUUUUUGUGAAACAAGGUUUCACUGUGUAGCCUUGGCUGGCCUAGAACCCACUCUGUAGACCAGGCUGGCUUCCAACUCAGGUCUACCUGCCUCUGCCUUCCAUGUGCUGGGAUCACAGGCAUGAGUCAAGAUGCCUGGCGAGCAAUCCACUUUUAAAUGUACACUGGUGUUACAUGAAUUUUAAUGUCGAGUGCCCUGUCUCCACAUCUCUUCUCAUGUUGCAACAUCAACAUUUUGUGCCCGGUAUGCACGGUGCUCACUUCUCCACCUUCCCAGCUCCCGGAGACCACUAUUCUGCUCUCUCUAUGAUUUCUGACUAAGUAUAUCACACAGUGGAAUUAUAGGACAUUUGCCAUUUACUUACUGGCUUACUUCACUUAACACAGUGUCCCCAAGGUUCAUCCAUGCAGUAGCACAUCUCAGCCAAGCCUUCUUGGUGUGUGUGUGUGUGUGUGUGUGUGUGUGUGUGUGUGUGUGUGUGAUAGUCUCUUAAGAAGACCCACCCUAAAUCUGGGUCACACCUUCUGGUGGCAUGUGAGAGGACAAGGAAGAAGGACCGGCUUUGUGCCUACUUGCCCUCCCUCUGAUUGGUAAGCUUGCCUUUCUUGUGGCUGUGCUCAGUAUUCAAUGCAACGUUUUCAAGAUUCCAGUGUACACUGAAGGCCAGCAGCUCUCCAGAGUCCUCCAGGACUCCAGCAUCAGGCUGAGACUUCUGAGAUAUCCAGCCACAUGGACCGGUACUCAUCACUGGACUGCCUGGACCACAGCCUAUAAGUCAGUUCAACAAAUCCUCUUGUUUGUUUUCCAAGAGGGUUUUUCUGUGACACCAGGCUGGCCUUGAACUCGGCUUUCUACCUGCCUUUGCCUCCAGUGCAGAGAUUAAAGGUGUGAGCUAUCACCACCCAGUUCAGUAGCUUACUCAAGGUGGCCUGGAUGUUGAGGUGAGUUUCUGUACUACAUCGUUAGAUCAUGAGAAACCUCUGGGGAUCAAAAAACUUAAUCCAUAAACCAUAUGUAUAUAUAAAUAAUAUAUAUAAUAUAUAUAAAUAAUAACAAAAUAUAUAUAAAUGAUAUAUUUAUGGACCUAAAUAUCACCUUCCAAACCCCUACAAUGUGGUACACAGUGUUCUGUUUUGGAGCCAAUGACUGCUUCGGUCUUUGUGGCUUGUCUCUGCUGGCACAGGUUGGUUCUGCAGCCUUCAGCAGUGCAGCAGCCAAUGAGUGGGCAGUGCAGCUGGGUCUCAAUAGCACCUGAUUUUUGGACUCUAAAACUUGAAUUUCACACCAUUUUCACAUAUCAUAAAGUGUUAUCCUUCUUGAUUUUUUCCCCAUCAUUAAAAAAUGUGAAAAACUGCACGUACCUUGUAGGCUGGACCAAAAUAAAUGCUGGGCCAGAUUCAGCUCAUAAACCAUGGCUGCUGACCAUGUCUUAUUAAAUGUUGACCAUAAACAGCAUGGCAUAGCUAUAAUAUACAUGCUGUAAGUGGGGUCUGUAGAGUGUUAGUUUUUCUAAUAAUCUUUACCAAUUGGAUAAUAUCCCACCCGAAGGUUAGUCUCUACCCUUCCCUCCUUCCUUCCCUCCCCCUCCCUCCCUCCCUCCUUCCUCCCUCUCCUUCUCUUCCUUCCUUUCUUCUUCCCAGCUCUUAACUAAUGAUGGGUUCAUAAUAUGUAAUAGAACACUAUACUUUCUCAUGCUUUUCGGGGUAUAUUUUAAAUACCACACAAACCAUAGAAAAGUUUCCACAGUUUUAAGCACAUUGUUUUAAAAUCAUUUGGUGAUAUAAGCAACUAAUUACUUUAGACCCCUCCAUAAAAAUCAUUUUGUUUGGGUUAACGUUGAAUUCCACUAAUUGCUCUUGCACAUACUUGGAGGUGAAAGGAGCUGUUUCCGAAUUACAGCAGGUGAAUCAGUGUGUGUGGGAACUUUGCCACUUGACGUGCAGUCGAGACUUAGCUGCUUGCUGAUAAGGAUGGCUGUGUGAGCAUGUGCAUCAACACGCAUGUUCUCCAGGCAAGAACCAUGUGAGAGCAUGUAUAUACAUCAACAUGCAUGUUCUCCAGGGCAAGGAUCCGCAAGGCCCAGAAGCGAUUCAAAGGAUUUCAAAUCCUCAGUGUGGCACAUAACUAAUAACUCUCUGAAUUUAAAUAAAACGAGACUCAUAAAAAUUCAUAUACAUUUCCAGCAGAUUACAUUUUACGCUACAAUAAAAUACUUUCCUAAUAGAGGCUUUUUGCUUGAGUGGGUCUAGGUAGACUAUGACCCAAAUAAUGUUCCUUGGCGCAGGAUCUGCAGUCAGUAAGGAUCUGAUCUGCCCCAGAUGUUAGUUUGAGCCUCUUACGUUUCCCCCUGUUUAAAAAUUUGAAAUGUAUUUAAAUAAUGGGCAAUUAAAACAUCUCAGAAUGAAUCAGUUUGCAUAUGACCAAGGCAUUAAUGCCCAAAGGGCUGUAUAAAAGGACCUACACAUUCAUGGAUGACAAACGGAUGCAUGGUUAUAUGUUUACAAAAGCCUAAAUCACCAGCCUGGCCAUGCCUAACCCGAAGUCACAACAUCGACGAGCAAUGAGGCUUUCUAUGAGAAAAUAUCGUUCCAGCGUCAGAAUGUCACCUUGCUGUCUGAUGAUCCCACCGAUGACUGUGAACAGAGCCUGAGAAAUUGUGUCGUGACUGAAAAGAUGUGUGGUAAACCCUGGUCACUACCUAAGCCACAACGUCCAUUGCACAUCCAGCUACCACAAAGAUGUCUCCUUGCUGUGGUCACUCACUCCAUCCCCACCCCCAACACACAGUUACUAUGUGGCCAGCACAUUACAGUUCGUUUAUACAAUUAAUCACUGAGCAAAGUGGGGCCAUUCCUCCAUUAAGAUGUUUUCUGUAAUAACACAACAACUUGUAUCAAGAGUUAAUAUUUCUCCUCUUUUCAUUUAUGGCUAAAUUAAAAACGAGUCUAGCACCUGGGUUCCAUUUUACUCUCAGUUUUCUGAUUCUGUGUUGGGAAUCUGACUCGGAGAAAACUUCUUGUCAAGGAAGAAUUAUGCUUCUUUUCUGGCUAACAUUUAACUCUUAAAAACCGGAAAGAGUUUUUGGCCUCAUGUCUGGUCUAAAGAUGAAACCCAUUAGCAAUGUAAAAAAAAUGAACCAAAUAAGUUAUUCAGUCUAAAAGUACUUUGGGGACUUUUGGAGAUGGAGAUUAGAUUUGAUUAGACGAAAGUUCUAGCAGCUUGCUUGACUCGAUGAGAAAGUCGAGAGCGAUUCCUUCUGGUGCCAACGGAAGCGAUUAUGAUCCUGCCCACCUAUGCUCAGACUUUGUUCUCAGUACUUCAACGCGGCGUCUCAUUCCACUUGGUGAGGCUUCUGCCUCCUUCCACGAGAGGGGGAAGUUUAUUACCCUGUAACUUGCUGUUUCAAUAUUCUAAGUUGAGGAUAGAAUCGUUACAGCAAGAUGGUUUUAAGAGGAAAGAGGACUUCACAUCUAAGAAGUGUCUCUCAUUCCGAAGACAGUCUCUGUGAGGCAGCCAGCAGCCAGCUAAUGUUUUGAGACUCUGCGUUACUCUUAAGUGACCAUGUCCAUCACUCAUUAUUUUUUGGUCUUUUAAAAGCAACUCAGGAACAUUGCUUAGAAAUUUUAUGUUAAUUAGAACAUUCUACAAGGCUUUCGCCAUGGACGUUGAAUAAAAUCCCUAAAAAUAUCAGAGCAUUGAAAAAUUCAGAUCUGGGUCAUCUUUCACGUAUUUACUUUGCUUUCCUGAAGGUGUGGCCUCAACAUGGAGUCCUGGCUAGCCUCUCAGCUUCAAACCCCAUUGGUUACCACCGUGACGCUGCUGCUCUUCUGAAGGUGGGUGCCAUGUUAAACUCUGCCACUAGAGGGUGCUCGAGGGAUGUUGGGCAGAAUUUUUCUUCCUGGUUCUGGUGUGCUCUCUAGGAAGGCUCCCAGUUAUUCAGUGGCUUCUUUCUGUCUCACUUCUGUAGUUUUCAGUUUCCACCAAAUGUGGCUCCUCCACUGCCCUGCUCCUUUAGGGAAGCGGCUAGCUUCUUUGUGUGAGUUUCUCUCGUGCAGACAUCUGACUGUAUCCAGCUUCCAGCAGCUUCCUUGGCAGCCCCUUGCAUAGCUUUCUAGAGAGUUCCAAGGCGUAGGGUCUAACAGUGGAAGCCUCUCUCCGGUACAUUAGAGGGUGGAUUUCCAGAAACUUCUACAGCAUAAUAGCACCUCAACAACUAUUAAUUUGGCGAACCAUGACUGUAUUCUCUUUAACAAGGCCUUUCUCUCAGCCCCAGGAGGAGAAGAGCAUUGUUUCAAACCAGGGGUAGCAUUAGUGAUUCCUGUAUUCUUUUAGGGUCUUUUUUUAAAAAAAUAUUUUAUGUAUAUGAGUAUGCUGUCUUCAGACAUACCAGAGAGGGCAUCACAUCCGCUUACAGAUGGUUGUGAGCCACCACAUGGUUGCUGAGAAUUGAACUCAGCACCUCUGGAAGGGCAGUCAGUGCUCCUAACCGCUGAGUCAUCUCUCAGAAAAAGCCUGAGUCUUUUUCUUUUAGUUAAAUAAAAAAAAAAAAGAAGUGUGUUUUAUUUGUGCGUGUUUGUGAGUGGAUAUGUGGAGGUCAGAGAAGAGCGUGUGGUUCUUGGUUCUCUUUGCCCACCGUGUGGGUCCAGGGAAUGGAAUUCAGGCUCUCCGGCUUCGCGGUAAGUACCUCUGCGUCUCCAGGCGCACCAGAUUCUUUGUGCUGUUGGCUUGCCCAGGGAGUACAACUGGCUCAAGGCCUCAGGGUCACCGUUCUCCUAUAGCGCUUCCCUCCGGGUAUCUGCCUGCUCUUUUCUCUCCUCUCUCGAGGGGAGAGAAGCCCUUGAGGCCUUUGCUUGAUCACUUUUACAUUUUCAACCCUGAUCUGUCGCUUACUACCCAUAUUUCUUUAUUUAAUUUUCCCCCUGAAAAUUUUUACUUUCUAUGAUCCUCAUAAUUUAUACUUUUAUUUUGUUUCUCUCGUCACCUUCUGCCUAAAAAUUUUGUUAAGUUCCACGAAGCAAGAAUUAAUGAAAUGAAUUAAUUCAGCGCUUCAUCCUCAGGAAGUAGUUAGGACGGUACAAGUGUAUAGUGUGCCUCCCCUGGACUCUUAGGCUGAAGUUGAUCCGUACUCCUUACUUCAUUUUUACCUAACUCUUGUGUGUGUCUCUACGUAUGUGACUAGAAAUGAAGAUGACAGAAGAUGCCACCCUUGGCAGCCUCUACAUGCUGAAUAAAGCAUUCCUGUUGCUGGCUCCCUUUAAGCAGUGUCCCCAGCUUUAAAAAUGAGUGACUGUGGUGCAUAUUUAUCACCUUUUGUUUCUAUUCAAAGGACUUGUGAGUCAGUGACCUUAUGACCUCUAACCCCAGCGAAGUGCCUGGAAAGCAUCAGUCCUUCCUACCAAUUCGUGAAGGGGAGUUUCUAGAAGGACCACAGGCUUCAGUGUUCCAUAUGUAGCAAGAGUAUUACUUCUUGAACUUUAAUUGGCAAGUGUAUUCUUGUAGAGCAUCUUGUGGUACAGGUGUCCAUCUGUGGGUGAAUAGAUUUAGAAAAUAUGGUACAUACACAGUGGAGUUUUAUUUAGCCAUAAAGAAUAAAAACAUGUCACUUGCAGGAAAAUGGAAAAAAACCAGAGACUGCUGUCUGUGUUAAGUGAAAUAAGCACACUUAGAAAAACAAGCUUUGUCUCAUGUAUGGGACUAAAACAAACAGAGAAACCGUGAAAGUAUGAGGAGAACAUAGGGAAGAAAAAAGGGACCAAGGGAGGUGAGUGAGGGUGAUGGUAGUGAAUAUGAUCAAAAUACCCAUGCAUGCAUUAAAAUGCAAUGACAAGCAUACUAUUUUAUAUGAGUAGCAUGUUUUAUUUUACAUGUCUGCACGCCACAUCUGCCUGGUGCUGGUGGAGGUCAGAAGAGAGCGUCUGAUCCUUUGGAAUUGGAGUUACAGAUGGUUGUGAGCUGCCGUGUGGGUGCUGGGAAUUGAAUCCAGAUCCUCUGGAAGAGCAGCCAGUGCUCUUAACUGCUGAGCCAUCUCUCUAGCCCUGUAUGUUAGCAAAAAGAGAUGGAGCCCGGUAGACACUGGGGACAAGCCUUUGUUGGGAAGACUGGGAUUUGGCUUUCAAGUUUUUCUGUUAUGCUUUCCAGCCACCAGGAGACAUGCCCUAGUUUCCACCAUGAUGCCUGUGUUGGAGGAGACCUGUACUGGCUGGUUUUGUGUGUCAACUUGACACAAGUUAUUGUUAUCUCAAAGAAAGGAGCCUCUUUUGAGCAAAUGCCUCCAUGAGACCCAGCUGUAAGGCAUUUUCUCAAUUAUCGAUCAAAGGGGAAGGGCCAUUGUGGGUGGAGCCAUCCCUGGGCUGGUGGUCUUGGGUUCUAUAAGAAGGCAAACUGAGCAAGCCAGGGGAAGCAAGCCAGUAAGUAACAUCCCUCCAUGGCCUCUGCAUCAGCUCCUGCUUCCUGACCUGCUUGAGUUCCAGUCCUGACUUCCUUUGGUGAUGAACAGCAACGUGAAAGUGUAAGCUGAAUAAACCCUUUCCUCCCCAACUUGCUUCUUGGUCAUGAUGUUUGUGCAGGAAUAGAAACCACGACUAAGACAAACGGGUACAGCGGAAUGUUGUUAGGAGUCAUUUUAUUGCAACAUUCCUUUAGCAGAACAGCAGUAUUUAGUUUUCCCCUAGGCUCAUGGCCUACGCACUCCCAGGUUCUUGGUCAUCUGAGCAGUGUCAGGCAUGGGUUCCGUCUCGUGAAGGGGACCGUAAAUCCAGUCAGAGAGUGGCUGGUUACUUCUACAGAUUUUGUCACCUUUCCACCAAUGUAUCAUGCAGGCAGGUCACCACUGAGGAUUGAAGGGUUUAUAGCUAGAUUAGUGUUUACCUUUCUCUGAUAGUGUGUGCAGUCCUGUUCCAUACCAUGAACACUCCUAGUCAGUAGGGGUGAAGGCUUUAUAGAGGCACCAGCUUGGCUUCUCCAUGUUUAAUGAGUUGUGUAGAUGUUGACUUCAGCAAUAGGAUCUUACCGUCAGUUUGUGAACAGCAUUCCAGCCUGGGUUGGAGGCCCAGCAUCUCUGACAAGCUCCUGGGAAGUGCAGUUGCUUCUGAUGUAAGGACUGUGUGGAGGUUUGAAUGAAAAUGCCUCCCCAUCCCCAGGUUCAUAGGGAGUGAACUAUUUGAAAAAUUAAGAUGUAUACGGUUGAAGUAGAUGUUGGAGAGGGGUGUCAUGGGGUCAGGGGUUGAGGUUUCAAAUGCUCAAGCCAGGACCAAUCUUUCUUUCUCUUCUUAUGUUGGAAGAGCCUGCUGUUAAGGUCAAAGUUACCAUGUUCAGAUAAGCUCUCCUAGUCUGGUGAAAAAUGGAGGACUCUCAUCCUCCUCUUUCCUGAUCCUAUAUGGAGAGUGUCUCUAAGCACAGGUGCCUGACCUUAUCUAGAGGAUAAUAUUGCACAAUUUCCUGCAAAUGCUGCGUGACUUAGCACAGAGGUCCUGCUCAGCCCUUCCUGUGAAUGAUAAUUAGGUUUAGCACUUUCCUACUGUAAACCCCCAAAACCUCUGAGCAUAGUCAUACAGUCUAUGGCCAGAUUACAGGUUAAACAGUCCCCCAUCCCUUACCACCAUAGAACCUGAACGCGCCUGGUAGGUUCUUAUAAUUCCUCUUCAUGUAAAAGAAGUUUUCCCACCCUAGCCAAUAGUGUAUAUUCACCCUGGAAACCCCACCCACUCCACAAGAUCUAUAGAACCCUUGUUCACUCCAGCAAAGUGGAGCUCAUCCUGGAAGUCAAUCAUAGCUGUUCCAGCCCUAACCCCCACCCCCACCCCACUUCCUUUGCCCUUGUAGCCAACAGCCCUGGGGGAGAAGAGAGGGUCUCAUUCCUGCUGCCUGCUACCUCUCCAGCACCAUAUCUACCUGCGUACUGCCACGCUUCCUGUCAUGAAUGGGAUAAAGCUCUGAAACUGUAGGUCAGCCCCAGGUAAAUAGUUUCCUCUCUAAGAGUUGCCAUGGUCACGGUGCCUCUUUGCAAUCAAAACACGGAUAAUGACAGGCCGUAUUUUGAGCUACGCUGACUUUGGCUUAACUGCAGUACUCUAUUAAGCAAUUAACUUAUAUAAAGAAUAUAUCACAAACUGCUCAUAGCCCAGGGUCUUGAUACUGGGCACUGUGAUAUAGCCUCUGUUAGGGUUUUGAAUCUCUGCCCAUGCCUGGACAGAACACAUCCAGCCACCAUGGUUCCUCGUGGAGAGGUUUAAUGAGAGAAGAGUAGAAGAGUGGAAAGGCAGCUGGCCAUCGGCAUGUGUGUGUGUGUGUGGGGGGGGAAGGGGGCAGGAGCAUCGAAGAACAAAGAGCAAGGGGGUGUGAGAAAGGAGGAAGAGAGAGUAAGAGGAGGAGGAGGAGCGGGCAAGCAGCCCCUUAUGUAGUCAGGCACGGCUGGCUGUUGCUAGGCAACUGUGGGGCGGAGCAUACCUGGCUGCUACCAGGUAGCUGUGGGGGUGGAGCUUAGACAGAAUACCAACCGCCUCCUUCACAGAGCCAGUCAAAACAGGCUGGGGAGUCUGCAACAGACAUCAGCCGGAGGAGGGACAGAGAGGCCAACUGCCAUUUGGAUUUAACAGGCUUUAAAAGGUUGCCAACUGAGAAAGGAGUUAUGCCGGUGCCCAAUUAUCUAUCUGCCUCCCCUGCUCCGCGGACUCUAUGCUACCAGAGAGAAAUAAAUUAUCCUAGGGCAGAGAUUUGGAAACCUUUGGAACCAUUUACAGACUCUUAGGUUAAAUAUGCUGAGUCGCGUCUUCAGUUACUGGAGGCACAUGUUAGUAUACUGAGCAUUGGCCUAAAGUGCUUUUUAAGAAAGUGAAAUGUACACAUACAAGCUACUAUUUUCCCCUUUGAGUCAGAUGCAUACAUAUUGUUCCUGAACAUUUUCUCUCCAGGAGAAAAUGAAAAACCAUAUUUAAAAAUGAGGAGGAGGAGGAAGAAGAGGAAGAAGAAGAGGAGGAGGAGGAGGAGGAAGAGGAGGAAGAGGAGACAUGGACUCUGAAAUCCUGCCUAAUCUGAACUGUGCUUGGAAAAAUUGGCCGAGUGAUUCUUUACAAAGAACAAAUGUGGGUUAGAGGCUGAUCCUACUCCAAUAGGCCAUCCCUCACGGCCUUGUGCUCACAACACACCUCCCCAUAUUGCUUUCCUCCUCCUUCUCCCUCUCCUCAUGGUCUCUCCUCAGACCCCAAGCCCAGGAACCAAAGCCCUGCUUAUCUCUGCUGGGCUACAGGCUGUCAGCAUCUUUAUUGACAAAUAGUUUUAAAUUAAGGAGCAAGGCUUGUACAAUGAAAGCUGGCAUACGUGAGGACUCACUCAUUUUGAGUCAGCUAGAUCUUGGGAUAUAGAAUUUAGCAUUACAAUACAUAGUGACAGACCAAACCUAACAAUAUGGAGUCAUCAUGUAACCAAGGAGAGAGAAACCCUAAUUAGAUAUCAUAUGCUAUCAAAUAAAAACCCCGCUAUCAGGA